rnacentral:rRNA from 1 species
CUACGGGAGGCAGCAGUGGGGAAUAUUGGACAAUGGGCGAAAGCCUGAACCAGCAACGCCGCGUGAGGGAUGAAGGCCUUCGGGUCGUAAAUCUCUUUUCUGGGAGAAGAGACAAGGACGGUAUCCCAGGAAUAAGUCUCGGCUAACUACGUGCCAGCAGCCGCGGUAAAACGUAGGAGGCAAGCGUUAUCCGGAUUUACUGGGCGUAAAGCGCACGCAGGCGGUUAUGUAAGUCGGACGUGAAAGCUCCUAGCUCAACUGGGAGAGGUCGUUCGAAACUGCAUAGCUUGAGGUUGGAAGAGGAGAGCGGAACUCCCGGUGUAGUGGUGGAAUGCGUAGAUAUCGGGAAGAACACCAGUGGCGAAGGCGGCUCUCUGGUCCAAAUCUGACGCUCAUGUGCGAAAGCGUGGGUAGCGAACGGGAUUAGAUACCCUAGUAGUCC